ACCUGAUGAGCAGUAAACAAGAGGAAUCGUGGUUCCCUUGACGUUAUUGCCCCGGCUGAAUUGGUUGCCCCGGUGAUAGUGAUUGCACCUAAGAACACAUCAGUGGUUGCUGGGGCGAGUGAGGCUACUCUUGAGUGCAUCGCUAAUGCGAGAUCUCUUGACAGGCUGCAGGUGUUCUGGAAGCGUAAUGGGGUGAGACUAACAGCAGGAGUGGACUCGUUUGGUCGCAGGCUGGUCAUCAGUAAACCUACCU